ensembl:rRNA 5S_rRNA 5S ribosomal RNA
GACUACGGCCAUACCACCCUGAACACGUCUGAUCUCGUCUGAUCUCAGAAGCUAAGCAGGGUCGGGCCUGGUUAGUACUUGGAUGGGAGAAAGAUAAUAGAUAGAGAGGUAGAUA